CAGGCAACCUGACAGGUAUGUUUUCCCACUGCCUUCCCUGUAAAGGAAAAUGCAGUCCUUAAACAUACAGGAUCAAAAUACCCUCUUUCCAUUCACUUUCCCAGAUUCUGUCUUGAGGCAACUUAGAGAGCCAGACAGAGUAACAGUGCUAGGUGGCAACUUUAGAAUUUAAAGCUAUUUUAAAAUUCUGUGAUGUCACUGAGGACCAGGGUUAAUUCUUAGAAACCAACCUUAUAUUUGAGGUCUAUGUACAGUAACUGCAAUCUGCUGAUUGUGGGAGUUGACCAAACACACAUCUCAUAUACUCCUACUCAGGGUAUUUCCCUAUUUUUCUACCUCCUUCAUAUCUCCCUCCUCCUUAUCUGUGGUAAACUGUGAAGGAAUUCACACCCCGGGUUUAUGCUAAUAUGAACUCUUUCCAGAAGGUCAGAAAAUUUGUCUCAAAAUCAUGGUAGGGAAAGGAGACUCUCUACACCCUGUCGCAAAAAAGAUUUUCAAGUUGAGGACGGCCUGGCUGCUUGGAAUAGCUGAAGAUGAGGAAAUGGCCAGUUAGAAAGGAUAAGUGGUUGAUGGCCAUUACCACCCUGACUGUGUUGGAGCUCAUCUGAUCUCAGAAGCUAAGCAGGUCCGGCCUGCUUGUAAUGGGGUGAGAGAAAGCACAAGUGACUCACCCCACUGUAAUAAGUGAAAACUGUGAAAAGUGUAAAUACUCAUAUUCUGAAUUAAAUAUUCAGUAUUAAAAUGUUGGUAUGUAUUGACUAUUGAAGAAAAA